AAGUUUCGAUGAAAUGAGCAAUAUGUUGCUUGGGGUUCCCCUUUCCGUCGAAUUGUUGAAGUUUUGGGGGUUGGUAUCCCGCUGGCAUCCUCAAUGCAUCGAUCCGCUUAGUGUACGGCUUUGAGUACAUGGGUGAGACUUGAGAUGGUCCGCCAUAUUGCGCUUUGAUGGUAUUGGCAAUCAUCUCUUGCAAUUGUUGAACAGAUAGUGUGGCAACAGACAUCGAAGAAUGAGCGGCGCCUUGCACGAAGUCCGGCUUGGGCUGUGCUUCUUCCACUUGCUUUGCUUUCUCGUCACGAAGCGGGUAAGAUUCGUGCUUCGGGCUAAACUCCCCAACCUCUGACUGUUCCAAC
rnacentral:lncRNA from 1 species